rnacentral:piRNA from 1 species
UAGGACGUGUCACUCCCUGAUUGGCUGC